CUUGUGAAAAAAUUGGAGCUGAAGCGAUUCUUUUACAAUACUUUAUUUUCUUGGGCUUCAACCAUUAUUUGUAAUAUGGACAAUUUUCAUGACCUGCUUGUAUCUCUCACUAGUACCUAGUUGUAAUUAGGUUUCAUGAUCUGCUUGUAUACUUCUGGUGUACUUUGUUACUAUCCUUAUUUCAAUAAAAUUUUACUUUUACCU